rnacentral:rRNA from 1 species
CCUACGGGGCGCAGCAGUGAGGAAUAUUGGUCAAUGGGCGCAAGCCUGAUGCAGCCAUGCCGCGUGUAUGAUGAAGGCCCUACGGGUCGUAAACCGCUUUUGCACGGGGAUAACACCCUCCACUUGUGGAGGUCUGCAGGUACCGUGCGAAUAAGGGCCGGCUAAUUCCGUGCCAGCAGCCGCGGUAAUACGGAAGGCCCGAGCGUUAUCCGGAUUCAGUGGGGGUAAAGGGAGCGUAGACGGCCAUGCAAGCCAGGGGUGAAAGCCCGGGGCCCAACCCCGGGACUGCCCUUGGAACUGCAUGGCUGGAGUGCGGGAGGGGUAGGCGGAAUUCCUGGUGUAGGGGUAAAAUCCGUAGAGAUCAAGAGGAAUACUCAUUGCGAAGGCGACCUGCUAGAACAUAACUGACGCUGAUGCGCGAAAGCGUGGGGAGCAAACAGGAUUAGAUACCCCAGUAGUC